GCUUAUUCAAUGUCUUCACCAUUUACUGUUGAACAUGAUGACAUACAGAUGAGUCUAAUUCGGAAAGAGAUGGGGAGAGUAGAGAGACCAGAGAGUGACAGAAGAAAGCUGACCUUCAGUCUCAAUGUAAAACAUCAAGAUAGAAAUACUCAAGAGAAUGGUGUCAUGACUUCUGUGCAGGAAAAUGGAAACUUCCUGGAGGAAGUGGACUUGAGCUGAAUCUUCCAGUAAUCGGGCCCAGAAAGCUGGAGUCUCUGGGAACCAACAGAACUUCCCUGCUUGUCAUGGCUCUUGAAAUUCAAGGAUUCCAGGAAAUUAAUUGUUCUGGCUCAAAGUCAGCAACUGAAUGCAUUGACCUAUGAUGAUGUGCAUAUCAACUUCACUUGGGAAGAGUGGACUUUGCUGGAUCCUUUUCAGAAGAAUCUCAACAAAGAUAUGAUGAUUGAGACCUUCAGAAACCUCACUAUUAUAGGCAUGAAAGAAGUCAAACUGGAGAGAAGAAACCUUUCAUAUAUACUAAAUGUCAUAAAAUCAUUGUAUAUGAGUGUCAUCUUCAAAGGCAUGAAAGUGCACCUAUGGGACAGAAACGCUUUCAAUGUAAUCAGUGUGUUAAAGCUUUUGCCAAACACAGUACUCUUCAAAUACAUAAAAGAG